rnacentral:rRNA from 1 species
UGGUGGAGUGAUUUGUCUGCUUAAUUGCGAUAACGAACGAGACCUUAACCUGCUAAAUAGCCCGUAUUGCUCUGGCAGUACGCCGGCUUCUUAGAGGGACUAUCGGCUCAAGCCGAUGGAAGUUUGAGGCAAUAACA